GACGCUGGCGGCGUGCUUAAUACAUGCAAGUCAACUUGACUUUAGAUAGCAAUAUCGAAAAGUAGGGUGGCGCACGGGUGCGUAACGCGUAGGUAAUCUGCCCUGAGGUCUGACAUAACCCGUCGAAAGGCGGGCUAACAUCAGAUGAUAUAUAAUCACGACAUCGUGGAAAUAUCAAAUCUUCGGAGCCUUGGGAUGAGCCUGCGUCUGAUUAGGUAGUUGGCGGAGUAAUAGCCCACCAAGCCUACGAUCAGUAGCUGGUCUGAGAGGAUGAUCAGCCACACUGGAACUGAGACACGGUCCAGACUCCUACGGGAGGCAGCAGUAAGGAAUAUUGCUCAAUGGGGGGAAACCCUGAAGCAGCAACGCCGCGUGAAGGAUGAAAUACUUUUGUAUGUAAACUUCUGUAAGAUGGGAAAAAUAUUCUCCUCGGGAGAAUUGAUUGUACCAUCAGAGUAAGCCCCGGCUAACUACGUG
rnacentral:rRNA from 1 species